GUGUCACAAAUAUGAUAGGCUAUCACGAAUGACGUUACUUAAGAGUUGGUUUCUGCCUAAGGUUGACGACCUUUGUGAUAGGGCGUCACAAAUGUGAUAGGCUAUCACGAAUGUCGUCACACUAUUUCUAGCCCAAUAUGCUGGAGUAAAAUAGGCAUAACUCUUUCCUCCGACAUCAGAUUUAGACGAAAUUGGUAUCGUUGGAAAUAUAAUU
rnacentral:lncRNA from 1 species